AACGCGAAGAACCUUACCUACCUUUGAAUCCACGGAAUUUUGCAGAGAUGUGAGAGUGCCUUCGGGAACCGUGAGACAGGUGCUGCAUGGCUGUCGUCAGCUCGUGUCGUGAGAUGUUGGGUUAAGUCCCGUAACGAGCGCAACCCUUAUCCUUAGUUACCAUCGAGUAAAGUCGGGGACUUUAAGGAGACUGCCGGUGAUAAACCGGAGGAAGGUGGGGAUGACGUCAAGUCCUCAUGGCCCUUACAGGUAGGGCCACACACGUGCUACAAUGGCCGGUACAGAGGGUCGCGAACACGCAAGUGGGAGCCAAUCUCAAAAAGCCGGUCGUAGUCCGGAUUGGAGUCUGCAACUCGACUCCAUGAAGCUGGAAUCGCUAGUAAUCGCGGAUCAGAACGCCGCGGUGAAUACGUUCCCGGGCCUUGUACACACCGCGUGUCU
rnacentral:rRNA from 1 species